rnacentral:rRNA from 1 species
GACGAACGCUGGCGGCGUGCUUAACACAUGCAAGUCGAACGGAAAGGCCCUGCUUUUGUGGGGUGCUCGAGUGGCGAACGGGUGAGUAACACGUGAGUAACCUGCCCUUGACUUUGGGAUAACUUCAGGAAACUGGGGCUAAUACCGGAUAGGAGCUCCUGCUGCAUGGUGGGGGUUGGAAAGUUUCGGCGGUUGGGGAUGGACUCGCGGCUUAUCAGCUUGUUGGUGGGGUAGUGGCUUACCAAGGCUUUGACGGGUAGCCGGCAUGAGAGGGUGACCGGCCACAUUGGGACUGAGAUACGGCCCAGAGUCCUACGGGAGGCAACAGUGGGGAAUAUUGCACAAUGGGCGGAAGCCUGAUGCAGCAACGCCGCGUGCGGGAUGACGGCCUUCGGGUUGUAAACCGCUUUCGCCUGUGACGAAGCGUGAGUGACGGUAAUGGGUAAAGAAGCACCGGCUAACUACGUG